UAACUCUCUCCAUCUGCUGGGUUUGUCUUUUCUGACCUCUGCCUCCGGCUAUUUUCCUCCUUGUCCCUCAAAACUCAAUGUCUACUCUUCUCUGAAAUGUUUCUGGACAUCCUUCUGUCCAAUACGAGUACCUUCCUCUGUGCUGGCAACACAGAUUUGUCCUUACUGAAUUAAGGUUAUUUACCAGUCUGUGCCAUUUAGGGCAUUAAACUCGCGUCUUGGAAUGUAUGCUGUCCCCUCAGUCCCUACUUCACCGCACUUGACUUCACUCAUUACGCGUUUGUUGAGUUCAUCGAACUGACCUGAGGAGGGGGAACCUGGUUGCUGCUCCCCUUUUGCACACAGGCAAUAGGGGGCAGUAGUGGCCUAACAUCCAGAUUCCCACUUCAAGCGUCAAGAGAACAGGUGCAGCUUGCUGGAGGAAGACUUCCUGGUGUGACAUUGUUGGACUUGAAGGUUCCAAUAGUGGCCUGGCUUUUCCAUUCUUGAGCCCUACAGGCAGCCUGAUUUCCCUGGCAGUUGUCCAUGUUGUAUCCAAGUGGAAAAGAGAAAGAUACCACAAGCCACAGACGUCCGUGCUCAGGUGUUUGUGAGGAUGUGGACUUCAGCUCUCUUGCCUACAUACCGGGAGUGGACGAAGUAGAAUACUUCUGCUUGGCCUCAGAAGCCACGUGCAGGGACGAGGAAACCAGGCUGGAAAUUGAUGAGGCGUCCUGUCCAUCCCUUCUGUCGGUUCUCACAUGCUGGCGAGCUUUCGGUUUUGUUUUUUUCUUAGUCUCAACUCUGGAAGAGGCUAUAUUAGUCGGAUUUUAUUGAGUUAUCUAUUCAAUUUGGAAGGAUAAUUUUAAUAUGCUGUAUCUUUUUUUAUUAUUAUUUAAAUUUUUUUGAAUUUUUACAGACUGCAUUUUGAUUCAUUGUACACAAAUGGGGUACAACUUUUCGUUUCUAUGGUUGUACAUGAUGUAGAU